rnacentral:rRNA from 1 species
GACGAACGCUGGCGGCGUGCUUAACACAUGCAAGUCGAACGGAAAGGCCCUGCUUUUGUGGGGUGCUCGAGUGGCGAACGGGUGAGUAACACGUGAGUAACCUGCCCUUGACUUUGGGAUAACUUCAGGAAACUGGGGCUAAUACCGGAUAGGAGCUCCUGCUGCAUGGUGGGGGUUGGAAAGUUUCGGCGGUUGGGGAUGGACUCGCGGCUUAUCAGCUUGUUGGUGGGGUAGUGGCUUACCAAGGCUUUGACGGGUAGCCGGCCUGAGAGGGUGACCGGCCACAUUGGGACUGAGAUACGGCCCAGACUCCUACGGGAGGCAGAAGUGGGGAAUAUUGCACAAUGGGCGGAAGCCUGAUGCAGCAACGCCCCGUGCGGGAUGACGGCCUUCGGGUUGUAAACCGCUUUCGCCUGUGACGAAGCGUGAUUGACGGUAAUGGGUAAAGAAGCACCGGCUAACUACGUG